CCCUUAGAUGUUCUGGGCCGCACGCGUGCUACACUGAGUGGAUCAGCGGGUCAGGUUGCGCGAAAGCGUUUCCUAAUCUUUAAAUCCGCUCGUGAUGGGGAUUGACGGUUGCAAUUUUCUGUCAUGAACGAGGAAUACCUUGUAAGCGCGGGUCAUCAUCCCGCGCUGAAUACGUCCCUGCCCUUUGUACACACCGCCCGUCGCUCCUACCGAUUGAGUGGUCCGGUGAGGCUUUGGGAUCUGAGCGGAAAGAGCGUUUCGCUGUUUCUGCUCGGAAAACUCAGUCGAACCUUUUCAUUUAGAGGAAGGAGAAGUCGUAACA
rnacentral:rRNA from 1 species